AAUUAGGAGGCAAUUUCAGUAUUGUUGGGACCCAACAACACAAUCCUCUGUAACCCCAAAAGCUAAAUGACAGCUCAAAGGAAAGCAAAGCAACCAAUGAGUGGAUAACAGAGAGGGACUCACUGCUUCUUCAGACAGAAUCAUCUGGGGUGGUCCAUGACCAUUUUUGUUCGAGGGGGCUUAAUUUGUCCCUUUGUUUUUAUUCUUGGUUUUUAUUAAAGGCUACUACUAUCUCUUUGGCAAUCAGAGAGUUACUAUCAGUUUCCUCAAGAUUAGGAUCAUGGAUUAAUGGCGCUACGGUGUCAGCAAUAGUAACCAGAAAGGUAUAUAAUGUUAUGGAGGAUUAAAAAAAAUAAAGAGAAGAAAAGAGACUGAGACUCGGUGACAAGAGGUGGCCCAGUGAAGAUUGUGCACCCAUAUUAGAAAUCUCGGGUGUAGCAGUAGUAGGGUCAGAAAGAGAUGAUGAUGAGUUCCAGAGUUUGACCAGUCCAGUUUUGAACAGUGAAGAAAGAAGUUGGGUUCUUCUCAACUCAUUGGUGCGGUGGUGGGCAUUGCAGAAAGCAGAAUGAGGUGUGAACUGAAAACAGAGUUGGUGGUAAUGGUUGGUCUCUAGAAGCAGAGGAGAAGCGACCAGAGAGCACUAGCGGGAGAGUCGUGGGGCAUAGCUUGUCCCAAGCCAUCUUGGUCCCAAGAUAUAUAAAAUAUGCCUUGGAACCAUUUGUCAGCCAAAGGGUCGAAGGGACGGCUGUGGUGGUGUUGGAAGUGGACUGGUCCACGACUGUGACCCCUGUGCUAACUUGUCAGCUUAAACUCUAAUUGGUGCGUCCUUCCCACCUUCACGUGGCUUUGUUCCCAUUAACGUAUAAAGUGUGUUUGUGUCUACCUCGCCUCGAUUCCUAUCGUUUAGAAGAUAUUAUUAUAUGAUUCUGUUUCUCACAAAGAAAAGAGACUAGUAGUUGGAUCCGUGUCUUGCUACUAUACUGCCUUUGCAUUAUAUUUUGUGAAAAAAAUAUAUAUAUAUAUCACGA